rnacentral:tRNA from 1 species
GAUAUGAUCAGCUAAACAAGCUCCCGGGCCCAUACCCCGGACAUGAUGGUUAAACCCCCUCCCAUAUCA